rnacentral:rRNA from 1 species
AGAUUGAACGCUGGCGGCAGGCCUAACACAUGCAAGUCGAGCGGUAGAGAGGUGCUUGCAUCUCUUGAGAGCGGCGGACGGGUGAGUAAUGCCUAGGAAUCUGCCUAGUGGUGGGGGAUAACGUUCGGAAACGGACGCUAAUACCGCAUACGUCCUACGGGAGAAAGCGGGGGACCUUCGGGCCUCGCGCCAUUAGAUGAGCCUAGGUCGGAUUAGCUAGUUGGUGAGGUAAUGGCUCACCAAGGCGACGAUCCGUAACUGGUCUGAGAGGAUGAUCAGUCACACUGGAACUGAGACACGGUCCAGACUCCGUACGGGAGCAGCAGGUGGGAAUAGUGGACAAGUGGGACGAAAGCCUAGAUCCAGCCAGUGCCGCGUGUGUGAAGAAGUC